AUUUCUCCUCCAUUCCGGAGCCAGCCUCGUGGCCGGAAGCCAGACUGGCCUCGUUUUAGGUCCGGCCCGGCCGGUCUGCGCAGCUGGGGCCCCUCUCCGCACCGGGCGGACCCGAGAGAAGGGGUGACUUGCCAGGGAGCUUCGGACGGAGGGCCCCAAGUGACUCCUUGCCCCCUCCCUGUGCUUCGAGUUCCUAGAGCCCCUGCCUUUGCUCUGGCCCCUCCAGACCCCUUUGUCAUGGAGCAGCGCCCCAAUGAACUUUGUAAAAUGUCAGUCAUAUUGUCCUCCACGGGUCCAACCUUCCCUGGCUUUGCAUCCUGCCCUGCUGACCGGAGAGUAGACCGACCACGUAAGGCCUCGUCGGAAACUGUUCACUUCUGAAAAUGAAAGUGUGCACCCUCCACCCAACAGCAAGCAAAAACUCACGAAGCCCCUGGUGGGACCCCACCUGCUGCCAUUCUCUCUCAGGCUUCUACUCUACACAAGCUUCUCACUCUUUCUUCAUUUCAGAGGACCAAGGCUGGGUGUGGGAGAGUGUGGCCUAGGUAGAAAGUUUUGGGAUCUCUCCCCACCUUAAGCCUCAUGCCCAAGCUGAUGCCUUAGGACUUCAGGGAGACCCGCAGGCCUGGGCUGAACCUGGCGAUCUCUACACUUGCCCUUCCCCCACAUCAGGGUGCUUGUGAGCUGUCAUUCUGGGGCAGCCCUGGAGGGAGGCAUGGCCCCAAUGCUGGCUAAGCUUGAAGUUUAAACACCAACAGGAUAUGUUCUCCACACUGGUGUCUGUGAUCGCAGAACACGCUUUUCUCUAAACAGGGCGGAGAGCAUCCUUAACCUAUAAUAUGAAUCGUACAUGCGACACAACAGACAACCUGAUAUCUAGAGACAUCUCAUGAGACAUUCUCCGACUGCAAAGUAACAAGAGUAAAAACGUCUUUUUAAAAAGGGUAACUGUGAGUAUUCACAGAAGGGAUGAAAGUUCCAGCCAGCUUUCAACAACGUCCCCCAGAUAGCUUUUGAGGGAAAAGAGGCAACUCACCACUGAAAAGUUGCAAAACACAACAGGGAAAAACCCACUCUGAGAGCUGUUGGAAGCACAGACAUAAAACCAUGUCCAGAAAACUGCAGAGACUGGCAUUCUCAGACAUAUAAUGAGAUAAUUAUGUUUCACGUGUUUAAGGAAAUAAAAAGGAAGCUUAAAAUUUGGAGCAAGAAACAAGAGACUGUAAAGUAUGGUGAUCCUGCCUCCUCCUCCAGCGCGCUAGUCCGCAUCUCAUCACACAACCUGCACGCUUGCUGUGCCCUCCUCUUGGAAUGCUGUUCCCGCCGAUGUCCGCGUGGCUCGCUCCCUCGAUUUACCAAGGGGUUUUGCUCAAAUGUCACUUGCUUAAAGGCGUCUUUCCUUACCAGCUGUGAAAGGUGGAACUGCAUUCAUUUGUUGAAGUUCUUGCCCUCUGUACCUCAGAAUGUGACCUUAUCUGGAAAUAAGGUUAUUGCAGAGGGGGUAGUUUGGACACAGAUACGCGGGGAGAGGAACUGGUGUUUCUACAAGUCAGAGAAUGCCGAAGUUGUUGGCAAACCGCUGAAGCCAAAGGCGAGGGGCCUGAACAGCUUCUCCGUCACAGCCCAGGAAGGACCACCCCUGCUGACGCCUUGAUUAGGACUGCUGGCCUCCAGGACUGGACACAGCCGAUUCCCGGUUAACACGCCCCGGCCCCCCUGGGACUCUGUUAAAUCAGCUCUAGGAAGUGACCCCAGUACCACCUACUGCAAAUCCGCCCCUACUGUCCUGCUGCCCUGCUUGGUCCCCUUAAGGCCCCUUGGGGGCUUAAAUGAAACACGUUUCUCUCUCUGUUCUGGAGGCUGCGAAGUCCAAGGUCGAGGCGCUGGCAGAUUCGGUGUUUGGUGAGGACCUGCUUCCUGGUUCACAGACAACUGUCCUCAUCGGGCUAAAGGGGCGCGGGAGCCCUCUAGGGUCUGCUUUAUAUGGGCGCCGUUCACCUGAUCACUCCGAAGUCCCACCUGGCUCGCCUGCGACACGUGCGUGGAGGGGCUCCUGGCGCACUG